rnacentral:rRNA from 1 species
GAUGAACGCUGGCGGCGUGCCUAAUACAUGCAAGUCGAGCGAACAGAUGAGGAGCUUGCUCCUCUGACGUUAGCGGCGGACGGGUGAGUAACACGUGGAUAACCUACCUAUAAGACUGGGAUAACUUCGGGAAACCGGAGCUAAUACCGGAUAAUAUAUUGAACCGCAUGGUUCAAUAGUGAAAGACGGUUUUGCUGUCACUUAUAGAUGGAUCCGCGCCGCAUUAGCUAGUUGGUAAGGUAACGGCUUACCAAGGCAACGAUGCGUAGCCGACCUGAGAGGGUGAUCCGCCACACUGGAACUGAGACACGGUCCAGACUCCUACGGGAGGCAGCAGUAGGGAAUCUUCCGCAAAGGGCGAAAGCCUGACGGAGCAACGCCGCGUGAGUGAUGAAGGUCUUCGGAUCGUAAAACUCUGUUAUUAGGGAAGAACAAAUGUGUAAGUAACUAUGCACGUCUUGACGGUACCUAAUCAGAAAGCCACGGCUAACUACGUG